UACUCCUACGGGAGGCAGCAGUUAGGAAUUUUGCGCAAUGGACGAAAGUCUGACGCAGCGACAUCGCGUGUAGGAUGAAGGCCCUCGGGUCGUAAACUACUUUUAUGACAACAUGAAGUUGUUUUGAAUAAGCAACUACUAACUACGUGCCAGCAGCCGCGGUAAU
rnacentral:rRNA from 1 species